AUAACGACUCUCGGCAACGGAUAUCUCGGCUCUCGCAUCGAUGAAGAACGCAGCAAAAUGCGAUACUUGGUGUGAAUUGCAGAAUCCCGUGAAUCAUCGAGUCUUUGAACGCAAGUUGCGCCCGAAGCCAUUAGGUUGAGGGCACGUCUGCCUGGGUGUCACA
rnacentral:rRNA from 1 species